GCCCCAGGAGCCGGGAGAGGCCGGCUGAGGCACAUGCGUACUGGGAGACGGACAAAGUCCCACAAUACCUCGCUUCGUCACUGCCAAAUCAGACUCAGGGUGAGACGCUUCCGCCCGGAUGAAGGUAUUGUCGGGGUGAUAGUCCUUGCUUCCGGAAAGGCGAGCUGAGCAUUAUGGGUUAGGUGAGGAACCUCGCCCUCUUCUAUUACGGGUCUCACUUUGUCACCCAAGCUGAAGUACAGUGGCAUCAUCUCGGCUUACUCAACCUCCUGGGAUCAAGUGAUCCUCCCACCUCAGCCCCCAAAGUAGCUGGGACUACAGGUACACCACCACAUUGGCUAAGUAGUGUUAUUUUUUGUAGAGACAGGGUUUUGCUAUGUUGCCAAGGCUGGUCUCAAACUCCUGAGCUCAACCAAUCUGUCUGCCUUGGCCUCCCAAAGUACUGGGAUUAUGGGCCUGAGCCACUGUUCCCGGCCAAAUUCUUUUCUUUUCUCUUUUCUUUUUCUUUCUUUCCUUUCUUUUCUUUCUUUCUCUUUCUUUUCUUUCCUUCAUCCUUCCCUCCCCUUCCUUUCCUUUCCCUUUUCCCCUCCCUUCCCCCUUCUGUUCCCUUUUCCCUUCCCUUUUCCCUCCUCUCCCUUCCCCUCCCCUCCCUUUUUCCUCCUGCCUCAGCCUCCCAAGUAGCUGGGACCACAGACAUAUUCCACCAUGCCCAGCUAUUUUAUGUAUUUUUGGUAGAGUUGGCGUUUUGUAGAGACCAGCAUGUUGCCCAAGCUGGUAUCCAGCUGCUGAGCUCAGGCGAUCUACUCGCCUUGGCCUCCCAAAGUGUUGGUAGUAGAGGUGUGAGCCACCGUGCCCAGACCCCAAAUUUAUUUUUAUUUUAUUUUAUUUUUCUAGGUCAGGCAUGGUGGCUCACACCUGUAAUCCCAGCAUGUUGGGAGGCCAAGAUGGGAGACUCACUUGAGCCCAGAAGUUCCAGACCAGCCUUGGCAAUAUAGUGAGAUGCCAUUUCUAUUUUAAAAAAUAUUUUAAAAAUAAAAUAUUUUUCUAUUCACCUUUCAUCAAUACAAACCCAGAAGAGAAUCUUUCUUAUUUUUAAAAAUGAGGAAAUUGAGCCCUACAAGAAAAAUUGCUAUAGUUUAUUGAUCACUUGCUAAGCCAUGUACUUCAUUUAAUCAUCGCUUUUGAACACAGUGUUGUAUAAAGUUGCCCAGGCUCAAAAGCAUGUACUCAUAACAUACUACACUAGGUAGUAUGUUUUCCUCAUCUCUGGUUAUU
rnacentral:lncRNA from 10 species